rnacentral:rRNA from 1 species
GACGAACGCUGGCGGCGUGCUUAACACAUGCAAGUCGAACGGAAAGGCCCUGCUUUUGUGGGGUGCUCGAGUGGCGAACGGGUGAGUAACACGUGAGUAACCUGCCCUUGACUUUGGGAUAACUUCAGGAAACUGGGGCUAAUACCGGAUAGGAGCUCCUGCUGCAUGGUGGGGGUUGGAAAGUUUCGGCGGUUGGGGAUGGACUCGCGGCUUAUCAGCUUGUUGGUGGGGUAGUGGCUUACCAAGGCUUUGACGGGUAGCCGGCCUGAGAGGGUGACCGGCCACAUUGGGACUGAGAUACGGCCCAGACUCCUACGGGAGGCAGCAGUGGGGAAUAUUGCACAAUGGGCGGAAGCCUGAUGCAGCAACGCCGCGUGCGGGAUGACGGCCUUCGGGUUGUAAACCGCUUUCGCCUGUGACGAAGCGUGAGUGACGGUAAUGGGUAAAGAAGCACCGGCUAACUACGUGCCAGCAGCCGCGGUGAUACGUAGGGUGCGAGCGUUGUCCGGAUUUAUUGGGCGUAAAGGGCUCGUAGGUGGUUGAUCGCGUCGGAAGUGUAAUCUUGGGGCUUAACCCUGAGCGUGCUUUCGAUACGGGUUGACUUGAGGAAGGUAGGGGAGAAUGGGAUUCCUGGUGGAGCGGUGGAAUGCGCAGAUAUCAGGAGGAACACCAGUGGCGAGGGCGGUUCUCUGGGCCUUUCCUGACGCUGAGGAGCGAAAGCGUGGGGAGCGAACAGGCUUAGAUACCCUGGUAGUCCACGCUGUAAACGGUGGGUACUAGGUGUGGGGUCCAUUCCACGGGUUCCGUGCCGUAGCUAACGCUUUAAGUACCCCGCCUGGGGAGUACGGCCGCAAGGCUAAAACUCAAAGGAAUUGACGGGGCCCCGCACAAGCGGCGGAGCAUGCGGAUUAAUUCGAUGCAACGCGUAGAACCUUACCUGGGUUUGACAUGGAUCGGGAGUGCUCAGAGAUGGGUGUGCCUCUUUUGGGGUCGGUUCACAGGUGGUGCAUGGCUGUCGUCAGCUCGUGUCGUGAGAUGUUGGGUUAAGUCCCGCAACGAGCGCAACCCUUGUUCACUGUUGCCAGCACGUUAUGGUGGGGACUCAGUGGAGACCGCCGGGGUCAACUCGGAGGAAGGUGGGGAUGACGUCAAGUCAUCAUGCCCCUUAUGUCCAGGGCUUCACGCAUGCUACAAUGGCUGGUACAGAGAGUGGCGAGCCUGUGAGGGUGAGCGAAUCUCGGAAAGCCGGUCUCAGUUCGGAUUGGGGUCUGCAACUCGACCUCAUGAAGUCGGAGUCGCUAGUAAUCGCAGAUCAGCAACGCUGCGGUGAAUACGUUCCCGGGGCU